CAACAUUUCGCUUCAAUUGUAUUCUUAUGUACUGAUUCAGCCUUCUCAUAGAGCUCGAGGUUAAAAAGAAUACGUGGAAGUUUACACAAAAACAAAAUUAAAGUCAGCUAGGCAGACAACAACAACCAGCAAUUAAUCGACAACUUGGAUUCAAGCUUUAGGCCCAGAAAUAGUAUCAAAACAGCUAAAAAACAAACUUUGAAUGAACAACAAUAAUAUAUAACCCAAAAACAAACUUCAAUGACCAAAUCAGAGCUUGAAACCAACCCAGGGAGUUCUGGAAUUUCAAUUAUCAAACACCCAGAAUAAUUAAACCAUUCUCAACCCAAUAAUAUGGAGAUUUAAUUCGAAAUUGACAGCUUUCAAACUACCUAAAAUUUUCAAUGGAAUAAGGAUUAUUUUUGCAGUAGUUUGAAACUUGGAUUCAGAAUAUUUUUAGCCUUUUUUCCUUUUUUAUUUUAAGGUAAGGUAUUGCCCUUUUAUAGACAAAGUCUAGGACAACCUUCAGAUUUCAUUUUACACCAUAAGUCCCUCUUUUAUUUUCAGAUUUUAGCUAUUUAGUCCCUUAGUUAUUGGCUUGUUGGCCUAGUUAUACUACGAAAUUCCUGAAAUUCAAGUUACAACCCCAUCUAGAAGGUUCUAGUGGUUUCGAAUUUCACUUACUACACUAUUCUCUAUUUUGAAAUAUCUUAUGUAUUCUUGAAUUAAUCCUAAAUUCCUAAUCUAUGUUUACAAACCCCCAUCCCUGAUAACUUGGUUAAAACUGACAGUAAUUAGUCAAUCAAGGGCUGGGAAUAUUGUGCUAUAUCCAUACAAAACCUAAAAAUUAAUCUAACUAAUCCAAAUUGAAAUUUAACUCUAAUUAAUAUGAAUCAUAAGACUAAAUUAACAGUGAACUAACAAUUAUCAGCACAAUCGUGGAUUAUUCAAUCAACAACAGAUGACACUAACAGAACAAAAUUAAACCAAGAUUGAAAACUAAAAGGGCAAGAUCAACGGAACAAAAUCAAAACCAUAAAAAUUAACAUCAUUUGAAUAUCUAAAAAUCAGGGAUUAAAUUGAAAAACUCCAAUUUAAACAAAAAAACAUACAAAGGGAUAAACAAAAGAAACCAUGCAAAUAGAAAGCAAAAACAAAUAAAGAAAGAAAAAUAAUCCGGACGUACUAAUUUGGUCACAACUCAGAUUGGCUUUUACUUUACUAACUUCAAAUAUGACCCCUAAAUGAUACUAUAUGUUUGUUCUUUAACAAAACAGACAUAUAAUAUCAUUUUGGAACCAUGCAAACACUUGAAUCUACAACUCCGACCUUUCUUCAACCACAUACCUAAAAUUUGACAAGUUCGAAGUGGAUUUGAAGGGUUUUGGUUUGGGGUUUGGGAAAGGGAGGCCGAAAAGGCUAUAGGGUAUGAUUUUGGUUAGAUUUGGGGAGGGGUGAGUUUCGGCCAGAUUUUCAGACGAAUAUUCGAGGAAUUCGGUGUUGAUUCGAAGCAGGGAACUUACAGAUCUGAGAUGAGGGAUGCUAAGGGGACCUAGGGUGUUAAUUAGGAAGUGAUUGGAGUCGGUGCCGCCGUAGGUGGCGGAGCAACCAUGAUUUCAAAUCAAAAUUCGACGAGUUCGGUCGAUAUUUGAGGAAUGUUAAUCGCAGGAAUGGAAAGAGGAGGUUGAGGAGGUGGGAUGGUGUUUUUUUAGGCCAUUGGAGCAUCGCUGCUGGCAGAGGCAGACGGUGGAGGGUGGUUGUAUUAGGGUUUAGCAAUUUGGACAGGGUACGAGGUUUGGUUUUGCGGUAGUGUGGUUUAAAAACAAUUAUAUAUGUGUUACACCCUAGCUUUGAGACCGUUGGAUUAAGGGCAAUGGACGGUUGUGAUUUACAUUGCCAGACGACGUCGUUUUGUGAGAGGUGGGGUUUGGACUGGGUUUUUGGAGACGGGUUGGGUCAGGUUGGAGGCGGGUUGGGCUGGUUUAUCCUUACAAAAAGAGCCCAAAUUGGUUUUUGUAAUUGAGGCCACAUUUUCAAAUUUCCUUCUUUUCUUUUAGUUACUUUUAGCUACUAAUUUUUGUUUUACUAAAUACCAAAUUGACAUUAAAAUAGAAAUGACCUGAUUAAAUCUAAAACUAAGCUUAUUAAAUUCCAAAUUAACUAAAUCCUAAUUUAAAAGGGAAAUUAAAACAAAUUUGAAACUUCAAAAGUAAAAAUGCAAAAAGAACAGAUUUUGUUAUUAUUUUUAUUUUUUCAUGCUAUUAAUUAAUCACUGAACCUAAAAAUGUUAAAAUUGGUAUCCUAAAUGCAAAAUACUAUUUUUGUAUUUUUAUGAAUUAAAAUACACUCAACAUGCCAGCAAAGACACAAUUAUGCAAUUAAAUUCUAAAAAUCAGACAAAUAAAGAAAAAUUCUAAUUUUAAGAAUUCAUAGGAGCAAUUUAAGCUAGGCGAAAAUUUCAUGCUCACAUCAACAAGGAGUGGGAGAUGAAAAAAGAAGGUUUGUUUUUGUAUUGCUCUAAAGUGAGGCAAAUAGCAGACCUUCAAUUUUUUGGUAAACAGCGCUAAUCCAUUUAUUUUUCUCCAAUGGAAAUAUUGUUGUCUUUAGUGGGGAUGGUAUUUGAUUUUCUCCAGCUAUUCCUCAUGUGUUUUUGAAUAAAAUAAAGCAGAAAACGAAGAAGGUAGGGUCUUUUAUCAGUGAUGGUGAAAAAUUCGAGAAGCUCUUGCUCUCGGAUCCGCCGUUUUUGGUGAAGG
rnacentral:lncRNA from 1 species